rnacentral:rRNA from 1 species
AUUGAACGCUGGCGGCAGGCCUAUCACAUGCAAGUCGAGCGGAUGAAGGGAGCUUGCUCCUGGAUUCAGCGGCGGACGGGUGAGUAAUGCCUAGGAAUCUGCCUGGUAGUGGGGGAUAACGUCCGGAAACGGGCGCUAAUACCGCAUACGUCCUGAGGGAGAAAGUGGGGGAUCUUCGGACCUCACGCUAUCAGAUGAGCCUAGGUCGGAUUAGCUAGUUGGUGGGGUAAAGGCCUACCAAGGCGACGAUCCGUAACUGGUCUGAGAGGAUGAUCAGUCACACUGGAACUGAGACACGGUCCAGACUCCUACGGGAGGCAGCAGUGGGGAAUAUUGGACAAUGGGCGAAAGCCUGAUCCAGCCAUGCCGCGUGUGUGAAGAAGGUCUUCGGAUUGUAAAACACUUUAAGUUGGGAGGAAGGGCAGUAAGUUAAUACCUUGCUGUUUUGACGUUACCAACAGAAUAAGCACCGGCUAACUUCGUG